rnacentral:rRNA from 1 species
UGGGGAAUAUUGCGCAAUGGACGAAAGUCUGACGCAGCGACGCCGCGUGGGGGAUGAAGGUCUUCGGAUUGUAAACCCCUUUCGGGAGGGAAGAUGGAGUGGGUAACCACUUGGACGGUACCUCCAGAAGCAGCCACGGCUAACUUCGUGCCAGCAGCCGCGGUAAUACGAAGGUGGCAAGCGUUGUUCGGAUUCACUGGGCGUACAGGGAGCGUAGGCGGUUGGGUAAGCCCUCCGUGAAAUCUCCGGGCCUAACCCGGAAAGUGCAGAGGGGACUGCUCAGCUAGAGGAUGGGAGAGGAGCGCGGAAUUCCCGGUGUAGCGGUGAAAUGCGUAGAGAUCGGGAGGAAGGCCGGUGGCGAAGGCGGCGCUCUGGAACAUUUCUGACGCUGAGGCUCGAAAGCGUGGGGAGCAAACAGGAUUAGAUACCCAAGUAGUCCCUGAGCGGGCUGGCAAGGCGCAU